rnacentral:rRNA from 1 species
GACGAACGCUGGCGGCAGGCCUAACACAUGCAAGUCGAGCGAGCGGCGGACGGGUGAGUAAUGUAUGGGGAACUGCCCGAUGGAGGGGGAUAACUACUGGAAACGGUAGCUAAUACCGCAUACCAUCGGAUGUGCCCAUAUGGGAUUAGCUAGUAGGUGGGGUAAUGGCUCACCUAGGCGACGAUCCCUAGCUGGUCUGAGAGGAUGACCAGCCACACUGGAACUGAGACACGGUCCAGACUCCUACGGGAGGCAGCAGUGGGGAAUAUUGCACAAUGGGCGCAAGCCUGAUGCAGCCAUGCCGCGUGUGUGAAGAAGGCCUUAGGGUUGUAAAGCACUUUCAGCGAGGAGGCGUUACCCGCAGAAGAAGCACCGGCUAACUCCGUGCCAGCAGCCGCGGUAAUUC